rnacentral:rRNA from 1 species
CAGAAGAAGUACCGGCUAACUACGUGCCAGCAGCCGCGGUAAUACGUAGGGUACGAGCGUUGUCCGGAAUUAUUGGGCGUAAAGAGCUCGUAGGUGGUUGGUCACGUCUGCUGUGGAAACGCAACGCUUAACGUUGCGCGUGCAGUGGGUACGGGCUGACUAGAGUGCAGUAGGGGAGUCUGGAAUUCCUGGUGUAGCGGUGAAAUGCGCAGAUAUCAGGAGGAACACCGGUGGCGAAGGCGGGACUCUGGGCUGUAACUGACACUGAGGAGCGAAAGCAUGGGGAGCCAACAGGAUUAGAUACCCUGGUAGUCCAUGCCGUAAACGUUGGGCACUAGGUGUGGGGGACAUUCCACGUUCUCCGCGCCGUAGCUAACGCAUUAAGUGCCCCGCCUGGGGAGUACGGUCGCAAGGCUAAAACUCAAAGGAAUUGACGGGGGCCCGCACAAGCGGCGGAGCAUGCGGAUUAAUUCGAUGCAACGCGAAGAACCUUACCAAGGCUUGACAUACACUGGACCGUUCUGGAAACAGUUCUUCUCUUUGGAGCUGGUGUACAGGUGGUGCAUGGUUGUCGUCAGCUCGUGUCGUGAGAUGUUGGGUUAAGUCCCGCAACGAGCGCAACCCUCGUUCUAUGUUGCCAGCACGUGAUGGUGGGAACUCAUAGGAGACUGCCGGGGUCAACUCGGAGGAAGGUGGGGAUGACGUCAAAUCAUCAUGCCCUUUAUGUCUUGGGGCUUCACGCAUGCUACAAUGGCUGGUACAGAGAGAGGCGAACCCGUGAGGGUAAGCGAAUCCCUUAAAGCCAGUCUCAGUUCGGAUCGUAGUCUGCAAUUCGACUACGUGAAGUCGGAGUCGCUAGUAAUCGCAGAU